rnacentral:rRNA from 1 species
UACGGGGGGGGCAAGCGUUGUUCGGAAUUACUGGGCGUAAAGGGCUCGUAGGCGGCCAACUAAGUCGGACGUGAAAUCCCCAGGCUUAACCUGGGAACUGCGUCGGAUACUGGAUGGCUUGAAUUCGGGAGAGGGAUGCAGAAUUCCAGGUGUAGCGGUGAAAUGCGUAGAUAUCGUAAGGAAGACCAGUGGCGAAGGCGGGUCUCUAGACAGUUCCUGACGCUGAGGCACGAAGGCCAGGGGAGCAAACGGG